GACGAACGCUGGCGGCGUGCCUAAUACAUGCAAGUCGAGCGAGCGGAACUAACAGAUUUACUUCGGUAAUGACGUUAGGAAAGCGAGCGGCGGAUGGGUGAGUAACACGUGGGGAACCUGCCCCAUAGUCUGGGAUACCACUUGGAAACAGGUGCUAAUACCGGAUAAGAAAGCAGAUCGCAUGAUCAGCUUUUAAAAGGCGGCGUAAGCUGUCGCUAUGGGAUGGCCCCGCGGUGCAUUAGCUAGUUGGUAAGGUAAAGGCUUACCAAGGCGAUGAUGCAUAGCCGAGUUGAGAGACUGAUCGGCCACAUUGGGACUGAGACACGGCCCAAACUCCUACGGGAGGCAGCAGUAGGGAAUCUUCCACAAUGGACGCAAGUCUGAUGGAGCAACGCCGCGUGAGUGAAGAAGGUUUUCGGAUCGUAAAGCUCUGUUGUUGGUGAAGAAGGAUAGAGGUAGUAACUGGCCUUUAUUUGACGGUAAUCAACCAGAAAGUCACGGCUAACUACGUGCCAGCAGCCGCGGUAAUACGUAGGUGGCAAGCGUUGUCCGGAUUUAUUGGGCGUAAAGCGAGCGCAGGCGGAAGAAUAAGUCUGAUGUGAAAGCCCUCGGCUUAACCGAGGAACUGCAUCGGAAACUGUUUUUCUUGAGUGCAGAAGAGGAGAGUGGAACUCCAUGUGUAGCGGUGGAAUGCGUAGAUAUAUGGAAGAACACCAGUGGCGAAGGCGGCUCUCUGGUCUGCAACUGACGCUGAGGCUCGAAAGCAUGGGUAGCGAACAGGAUUAGAUACCCUGGUAGUCCAUGCCGUAAACGAUGAGUGCUAAGUGUUGGGAGGUUUCCGCCUCUCAGUGCUGCAGCUAACGCAUUAAGCACUCCGCCUGGGGAGUACGACCGCAAGGUUGAAACUCAAAGGAAUUGACGGGGGCCCGCACAAGCGGUGGAGCAUGUGGUUUAAUUCGAAGCAACGCGAAGAACCUUACCAGGUCUUGACAUCUAGUGCCAUUUGUAGAGAUACAAAGUUCCCUUCGGGGACGCUAAGACAGGUGGUGCAUGGCUGUCGUCAGCUCGUGUCGUGAGAUGUUGGGUUAAGUCCCGCAACGAGCGCAACCCUUGUUAUUAGUUGCCAGCAUUAAGUUGGGCACUCUAAUGAGACUGCCGGUGACAAACCGGAGGAAGGUGGGGAUGACGUCAAGUCAUCAUGCCCCUUAUGACCUGGGCUACACACGUGCUACAAUGGGCAGUACAACGAGAAGCGAGCCUGCGAAGGCAAGCGAAUCUCUGAAAGCUGUUCUCAGUUCGGACUGCAGUCUGCAACUCGACUGCACGAAGCUGGAAUCGCUAGUAAUCGCGGAUCAGCACGCCGCGGUGAAUACGUUCCCGGGCCUUGUACACACCGCCCGUCACACCAUGGGAGUCUGCAAUGCCCAAAGCCGGUGGCCUAACCUUCGGGAAGGAGCCGUCUAAGGCAGGGCAGAUGACUGGGGUGAAGUCGUAACAAGGUAGCCGUAGGAGAACUGC
rnacentral:rRNA from 1 species